GCUGGGCGCGAUGGCUCACGCCUGUAAUCCCAGCACUUUGGGAGGCUGAGGUGGGUGGAUCACCUGAGGCCAGGAGUUCUAGACCAGCCUGGCCAACAUGGUAAAACCCCGUCUCUA
rnacentral:SRP_RNA from 2 species